UGGGGAAUAUUGGGCAAUGGGGGAAACCCUGACCCAGCAACGCCGCGUGAAGGAAGAAGGCUUUCGGGUUGUAAACUUCUUUUACCAGGGACGAAGGACGUGACGGUACCUGGAGAAAAAGCAACGGCUAACUACGUGCC
rnacentral:rRNA from 1 species